UCAUAACAAAUUAUUUUCGGGUUGUCCAACGACUUGAGGCUUUCAGAGGACUGUUAAUAUGAAGGAGAUAUUACUUAAAUAUUUCAAUUAAUUGCAAAUUGUACCAAACUAAUAUUGCUAUUUAAAACGGAAUAGUUCAUUCAACCGAGUUGGCUUGUUUCCAACCCGAAGUUUCAGUUGAAAGAAACCCUGUUGGGAUCUGGCGCCACCUCCUGAUUACAGCUGGCAGAACCUAACACAAAUGCGAACAAAUCAUUGGAAGAUGGCAAUACAAUUUUCUGCAGGAUGUAUUUGAAGUUCAUGCAAAGACGAUUCUGAUAUUGAUUUUUGACUCAAAGAUAUUGACUUUUGAAGAAGUUUGAACUACAGGUCCACGUUUAAAUGUGAAGUUUCUCUGUGACUAUCUCUCACUUGGAUGCAUUGGUGCAACCGACUUCUGUUUAGAAAAUGCGUUAAAUGAUACACGCCCAUUUAAACGUGUUAACAUGACAUUUUUUUUUUAAAAUACUGAAAAAUGUAUGCAAGGAGUUCUGUCCAGAUUGUACUUAUUUUAGAACUCCACGUAUUGAUAAAAAAUGAAAGAAUAUUUUUAAAAGCUGAUGAAUUCGUGAUG